rnacentral:rRNA from 1 species
UACGAAGGGGGCUAGCGUUGUUCGGAAUUACUGGGCGUAAAGCGCACGUAGGCGGGUUGUUAAGUCAGGGGUGAAAUCCUGGAGCUCAACUCCAGAACUGCCUUUGAUACUGGCAACCUAGAGACUGGAAGAGGUUAGUGGAAUUCCCAGUGUAGAGGUGAAAUUCGUAGAUAUUCGGAAGAACACCAGUGGCGAAGGCGGCUCACUGGACCGGUAUUGACGCUGAUGUGCGAAAGCGUGGGGAGCAAACAGG